AUGAACAAUAUAAUAAAAUCAAAAAAGCUGUAUGAAUUAUAUUCGAAACGCUAUAUUUGUAAUUACUCUAAAAACAGAAAUUUAAAAAAUAAAUAUAAAUAUCUAAAUGGUCAUAACAAUAAUUUAACAUUUAGUUCUACUAACACAACGAUAAACAAUAACGGCAAUAAACUAACAAAUUUUAGUACCAAUAAAUUUCGGAGUGAAAUAAAAUGGCCAUUUCAAUUUUAUGUACAAAACCAUAUAGUUUUAAAAAAAAUUAUGAACAGUAAUGUGAAAAAACUAAGUGCAAGGCAAUUUUCAAGAUAUUCCCACAAAGAAUCAUCAUCGUCAAGGAAUAUUAAAAAUGAAGAUAAAAAAAAUAUAAAAAAGAAAUUGGAAUUGUUUGUACGUUUACCAUAUAUGGAAAUAAAAAAUAAAUUUAACAACAUAAGUCUUUUAUGGUUGAAAGAUAAUUAUUAUAAAAAUAAAAAAUGGCUAAUCACUUUUUUGAAUAAUGUUUAUUAUGAAAUAUGCAUAAAAAAAUAUAGACAAUUAAAAAAAACAGUACCAAAUAAUUUUUUUUUUAAUUAUAACAAAAAUAAUAAUGUAAAAAUAUUUUAUCCGUUUUUUUCAGUAUUAUUUAUAAAAAACUUUUUUAAAAAUGAUAAAUUAAUAACUCGUUUUUUAAAUUAUUUAUCAAUAAAUAAAAAAUUGUUCUUAAAUAAUUUUUCUAGUUUUUAUCAACAAAAUAUAAGAAGCGGCUAUUAUAAAAAAUUAUUUUUAUUUCAUUAUAAAAAAACUCCAGCUACAUAUACUCUUAUUUUAUUACACUUAUUUAUUUAUUUAUUAUGGUUCAAAGCGAAACCUGUACAGUAUAACUACAAUGAAUAUUUUUUAACAAAUAACAUGUUCAUAGAUAGAAACAGACAAAAAAACAACAAUUUUCUAUUAACAACUGAUUUUAUGUAUAAUCAUUUUUGUUGUAGUUUACGAAGUUUAAAAGAAAAAAGGUUUUAUACAAUUUUAACAAAUAUAAUUAGCCAUAAUACUAUACAAUCUUUUUUAUUAAAUACUAUUGCUUUAUACUAUAUAGGGAAAGGUUUAGAAUGUAUUAUAAAUACUAAAAAUUUUUUAAUUACAUAUAUAUUGAGUGGAGUUUUAUCAUCCUAUAUACAAAUAUUAUAUCAUAAAAACACAUAUAAUAAUUAUAAUUAUGUUUAUGUGUUAGGUGCCAGUGGAAGUAUAAGUUCUAUUCUAGCUACAUACACAUUUAUCUUUCCGAAACAAAAUAUUUACCUAUAUGGAAUCAUUGGUUUGCCUAUGGCUUUAUUUUCUUCUUUAUACUUUUUGAACGAAUUUUACUGUGUUAUAACGAAUAAAAACGACAAUACAGGACAUGUCGCACAUUUAUGUGGUAUGUGUUUAGGAAUCUUGUACUAUUUAUUUUAUGUUAAAGGAAGAAUUGUUACAUAAAAACAUGCAUACAAGUACGCUUAAAAAGCGCGUUUUUUUUUUUCUAAUUUGUUGUUAUUUUAAAUUGUUGUUUUUUUUUUACUGUUUUUUUUUAGCUUUUUUUUACUGUUUUUUUAAUUUUUUUUUUUUAGCUUAAUGCUUUGUUAACUUAUUGUUUUUUUAAUUAACUGUUUUUUCAUUUUAUUGUUUUUUCAUUUUAUUGUUUUUUCAUUUUAUUGUUUUUUCAUUUUAUUGUUUUUUCAUUUUAUUGUUUUUUCNNNNNNNNNNUUUUAUUGUUUUUUCAUUUUAUUGUUUUUUCAUUUUAUUGUUUUUUCGUUUUUCAUUUUUAUUUUCAUUUUCAUUUUUAUUUUCAUUUUUAUUUUUAUUUUCAUUUUUAUUUUCAUUUUUAUUUUCAUUUUUAUUUUUAUUAAAUUUUAUUUGUUUUUUAUAAAAUUUUUAAUUCCUCAUAAAUUCAUAAGUGCGCUAAUUUUUUUUUUUUUUCUUUCUUCUUUUUUCUUCCUUUUUAAAUUUUACAUUAUACAUGUAUGCGCAUAAUAUAUUUAUUAUUAAACAAAAUUAAUAUUAUUAAAAAAUUUGGUAAUAUAUAUAUAUAUAACAAUACACGAAUGGAAUGUUUAAAAUACCUUAAAAAAAAUUUAUAUAUUUAUUUUUUUUUUACUUUUUACGGUUUAUAUAAAAAAGAAAAAAAGAAAGUAAAAAAAAAAAACUUAAAGCAAUAGAAAAAAAAAAAAAAAAAGGUAAUAAAAUAACAUACAUAACAAAUAUCA
ensembl:lncRNA